rnacentral:ncRNA from 1 species
AGACGAUGCUUAGGCAUCUCCUCAGCCCGAACGUACCCUGGGUAUCGACGGGCUGUUAUAUCCUCUUUAGCCAUAACUCACG